AAGAAAAAGGAGCAGAAAAAAAAAAAGAAAAAAAGACUUUUCUUUUUUCUUUUUUUUCGAUUUCUCCCUCUCCUCUCUCUCUCCUCUUAAUAAUAAAUAUAAUAUUGAAUCACAUAGAGAAAGAGAAGAGCAAAUAAAAUCAUGAAUAUCUUUUCUUGAAUUGAACUUUUCUUUUUUUUGUUCUCUUCUCUCGGACUA
rnacentral:ribozyme from 13 species